rnacentral:lncRNA from 1 species
CCCAAAUCAUCUGGAAGAACCAUAGUGUGUAAACCGCCUGGUAACUUGACUGUGAACACUUGCUGGCAAAACUUGACACUUUAGCCCUGGGCCUUUGGGGAAUGCUUGAGCUGUCAUUCUGCUACCUUGGCUGACAAAGCAGACAUGCAGGAGCCUGAGGAGAAAAGAUUAAGGGCUUUCUAGUUUUUAUUUUUUAAACCCUCUUAUAGACAAAACACACUUUAACACCUUUCUUUUGCAUCCACUCACCUCUGAUGUU